GCCCCCCUCAAGAUGAGAUUUCCCAUGGCGUAAGCCAGUAAGACCCCUUAGAGAUGAUGAGGUUGAUAGGUCAGAAGUGGAAGCGUGGCGACACGUGGAGCGGACUGAUACUAAUCGGUCGAGGACUUAUCCUA
rnacentral:rRNA from 1 species